rnacentral:rRNA from 1 species
UACGUAGGGUGCAAGCGUUAUCCGGAAUUAUUGGGCGUAAAGAGCUCGUAGGCGGUUUGUCGCGUCUGCUGUGAAAACUGGGGGCUCAACUCCCAGCCUGCAGUGGGUACGGGCAGACUAGAGUGCGGUAGGGGAGAUUGGAAUUCCUGGUGUAGCGGUGGAAUGCGCAGAUAUCAGGAGGAACACCGGUGGCGAAGGCGGUUCUCUGGGCCUUACCUGACACUGAGGAGCGAAAGCGUGGGGAGCGAACAGG